rnacentral:ncRNA from 1 species
CAGAGAUUUGAUCCUAGUCUUAUUAUCAGCCAUCUUUUGACUUACACAUGCAAGUAUCCGCACAACCGUGAGAACGCCCUUUUACCUCCCCCAGGCUAAGGAGCUGGCAUCAGGCACAGAACCCUGGCCCAUGACGCCUAGUUUUAUCACACCCCCAAGGGUGAUUCAGCAGUGACAAAUAUUGCCCCAUAAGCGCCAAGCUUGAUUCAGUUAAAAAGAAAAGGGCCGGCCAAUACGGUGCCAGCCGCCGCGGCUACACCGGUAGGCUCAAGUUGAUAAUUUUCGGCGUUAAGCGUGAUUAAAGGCCCCCCACAUAGAGUAAAACAUACACCUAGUAGUAAUAAGCUUGCUGUCUGGAACAUUAAAACGAAAGUCACUCUAACCACCCCUUGAACCCACGACAGCUAGAUGAACAAACUGGGAUUAGAUACCCCACUAUGCCUAGUCGUAAAAUUUUAACCAAAAAUAGCCACGCCAGGGAAUUACGAGUUUAACUUAAAACCCAAAGGAUUUGACGGUGUCCCACCCACCUAGAGGAGCCUGUCCCUUAAUCGAUAACCCCCGCUUUACCCUACCACUUCUCACUUAGUCUGUAUACCUCCGUCGCAAGCCCACCAUAUGAAUGUAAGUGGGCCAAAGGGGGUUUAUUUUCCCAACACGUCAGGUCAAGGUGCAGCUUAUGAAGUGGAGUGAGAUGGGCUACAAUUUCUAUUAUAGAACAUACGAAAAGACAAAUGAAAAUCAUCUAUGAAGGUGGAUUUAGUAGUAAAAAGAAAAUAAAGUGUUCUUUUUAAUUUAGGCCCUGGGACGUGUACACACCGCCCGUCACCCUCUUCAACAACACCCUUUUAUGUUUAUAACCCAUUUUUUCCCCAUAGAAGAGGCAAGUCGUAACAUGGUAAGUGUACUGGAAAGUGCACUUAGUUCAACAAAAUGUAGCUUAACUAAAGCACCUCGCUUACACCGAGCAAAUGUUUAUUGAUUUAAACCAUUUUGAGCCUAAAAUCUAGCCCAACCUGCCAAAUGUAAAACCUUCCUUUUUCCCCAAAAAUAAAACAUUUUACUUCUUUAGUAAAGGCGAUUAAAAAACUUCUUGGAGCUUAAGACCUAGUACCGCAAGGGAACGAUGAAAUAGAAAUGAAAUAAACCUAAAGCCUUAAAAAGCAGAGCACCCCUCGUACCUUUUGCAUCAUGGUUUAACUAGAAAAAUAGAGCAAAACAAAACUUUUAGUUCAACACCCCGAAACUAGGCGAGCUACUUUGGAAUAGCUUUAUAGAGCCAACCCGUCUCUGUCGCAAAAGAGUGGGAAAAUUUCUAAGUAGAGGCGACAAACCUAUCGAGCCUAGAGAUAGCUGGUUAUUCAGGAAAAGAAUUUUAGUUCUACUUUAAGACUUACACAUUACAUAAAACAAUAACCUAAGCUUAAAAGUUAUUCAAAUAAGGCACAGCUUAUUUGAAACAGGAUACAACCUAAAACCCCGGGUAAAAUUUUCUAGUACUAAUAUAAAGUAGGCCUAAAAGCAGCCACCUUUAAAAAAAGCGUUAAAGCUUUCUUACACCGUACAAUUAAUCCCAUAAACACUUUACAACCCUCCACCAAUACUGAAUGAUAUUAUAGCUAUAUAAUGUACCUUCUGUUAAAACUAGUAAUAAGAAAUUGACUUUCUCCUAAAUAUAAACUUAAACCAACCUUGACCAUCUACUGGUAUUCAACGCAAAUGACCUAAUUAUAGUAAACCCACCCGCAAACUCUAUAACCUUAAGCGUUACCCUAACACUAGAAUAUUUUAGGAAAGAUUAAAAGAAAGGGAAGGAACUCGGCAAAUACUAGCCCCGCCUGUUUACCAAAAACAUCGCCUCCUGCUAACCAUAGGAGGCCCAGCCUGCCCAGUGACAAAGUUUAACGGCCUCGGUACCCUAACCGCGCGAAGGUAGCAUAAUCACUUGUUCUUUAAAUAAGGACUCGUAUCAACGGCAUCACGAGGGCUAGACUGUCUCCCCUUUCUAAUCAGUGAAUCUGACUUCUUCGUGAAGAGGCGAAGAUAUCUAUAUAAGACGAGAAGACCCCAUGGAGCUUAAAACCAAACAACACUCCUUUUUACGUAAACCCUAAAAGAUAAAAGAACUGUUGACUAGUUUUUGGCUGGGGCAUCCGAGGAGUACAACAUAACCUCCCUGACGAACAUCUUAGAAUUACAACUCCAAGAAACAGUAAUCUGACGUAAUGUGACCCGACAAUCGAUCAACGAACCAAGUUACCCUGGGGAUAACAGCGCAAUCCAUUUCAAGAGCCCCUAUCGACAAAUGGGUUUACGACCUCGAUGUUGGAUCAGGGUACCCCAGUGGUGCAGCCGCUACUAAAGGUUCG